GACGAACCGUGCGAACGUUGUUCGGAUUCACUGGGCUUAAAGGGCGCGUAGGCGGUUGACCAAGUCCGGGGUGAAAUCUUUCGGCUUAACCGGAAAAGUGCCUUGGAUACUGGUCGGCUGGAGGGAGGUAGGGGCAGCUGGAACUUCUGGUGGAGCGGUGAAAUGCGUUGAUAUCAGAAGGAACGCCGGUGGCGAAAGCGAGCUGCUGGACCUCUUCUGACGCUGAGGCGCGAAAGCUAGGGGAGCAAACGGGAUUAGAUA
rnacentral:rRNA from 1 species